AUCAAAGUAAGCAGUAGAAGUAUUCACGAUAUGCGCUGUGCAAAUAUUGUGGAGACAUAUUGCCAGGGAUAAUCUGUGCUUUACCCGCAUAAUCAGGUGGCGACUUUUCACAACGACUCAACUCCGUGAGGCUCUGGGAUACAUGACGGCUGAGGAUCCUUUGUUACUUGAAUGGUGACCCUUUGUUCCAGAGCAGAGAAAGAAGUGUUGAACCGCAUCGAGAGCCGUGUUUUGGGGGCCGCAACUCGGUAGAACGGCCAGUCAAUGUGCCCCGAGCAGUGGUCUCAAGAGCCCCCCGCUCACGGGCCCAGUCGCGACCAAUGAACCAAACAACAAAAAGAUAGUCGUUGAACAUGUUAGCGAGCAGACGUCGCUUUCAGUCAGCUUGAGGAUAUCUUUGCUUUCUUCUGGAAGUCAGCUGUGCUCCGCGUAUUGCAAAUCGUGACUGUUCUCACUCAGUCAUGUGACAGCCGUUACAUACAUUGAACUGCUUUUUGUCUGACCCCAUUUAAUCUUACGUUGUAUUCAUCUGUUUACUUCUCCAGCUCCACUUACAGUCCCAAAAGCCGCUCGGGCUUCAACGAAAAAGACGGUUCCGUAGGUGGAGACGCGAGGAAAGCUGAAUGAUGCUGCGCCGAAAUGCGUGUUGCCUGAUCUCAUAAGUUACAAGAGUCAAGGUCCUGCAACAGGAGUCCUGCAAGCACCGUAUUUCUUCACCACACGACACCUCGUGCCCCGGUAAAAGCUCCUUUUCCGUCCACACGAAGACGGUUCCCUGUGUCCAGGUUCAUCUUAGGGCUUUACAUUGUUUCUGGAACUUCCAAGAAAUCGCCUCUUGCUGUUUCCGCUUCACUCCAGUUGAAGAUAGUGUUUCUCACUUUAUCGCGCGGUUCCUUUCGACCGCUCGACAGUGAACAGGCACCAAAUGCACAUUUUUGAGUUACGUGUGACAGUCAUGACGCACACAACUCUCCAUCCUCUCUCGGAGCUCUACGAAUCUUUGUGGAUUUGUGCGUGCCUUCGACUCCUAAAGAAAGACACUCCCUCUGCCGUUGAUACCUCUUGCCUUCCACACUACGUGCUUCGUUGCGUAUGACCCCUCACCCCACAGAAGAACAGUGCACCGAGACCAGAUAUCUCGCCCCGCGUUAACGGAAGCUGCCUGACGUCGUCUGGUUUCUCAAGACCGAACCACAUCGACUGUGAGAUGCCUGUCGACUGGAUUGUUGUGUUCGUGGAAAAUGUAAGAUAUUCUCCAACGUGAAGGGCUGCUUUCACGAGUGCGAGCUAUAACGGAAAGGCAAGCGACCUGUGUCCUGCUUUGGUUUCACUCUUCAUUUGUCCCGGACCGCAUUCC
rnacentral:lncRNA from 1 species